GUACGGCCGCAAGGCUAAAACUCAAAGGAAUAGACGGGGACUUGCACAAGCAGUGGAUUAUGCGGUUUAAUUCGUAGGUAAACGAAGAACCUUACCAAGGUUAGAAACCCAGCACAUAAUGCCGUCUCAGAAAUGAGCAGAAUACCGAAAGGUAUGUGCUGGACAGGUGAUGCAUGGCCGUCGUCAGUUCGUGGUUUGAGCUGUUCCCUUAAGUGGGGUAACGAACGCAACCCUCGUUGCCAGUUAUAAGUGUCUGGCGAGACUGCCCCGAUUUAAGUUUUUGAAGUUCCCAAGGUUCGACCUUGGGAAUUCUAAAGGUCGAACCUUUAAUCAAAAAUUUAAAUCGGGGAGGAAGGCGAGGAUGACGCCAGGUCAGCAUGUCCCUUGAUACCUUGGGCUACACGCAUAAUACAAUCGCCGCCACAACGCGUUGCGACGGGGUAACCCCGAGCUAAUCGUAAGAAAAGCGGCGUCAGUUCGGAUUGGGGGCUGCAACUCGACCCCAUGAAGUUGGAAUUGCUAGUAAUCGCGGGUCAGCCAUACCGCGGUGAAUACGUUCUCAAGUCUUGUACUCACCGCCCGUCACGCCAGGGAAGUUGGGAGUACCCGAAGUCCCAGCCCCAGUUUU
rnacentral:rRNA from 1 species